GAUGAACGCUGGCGGCGUGCUUAACACAUGCAAGUCGAACGAUGAAGCCCAGCUUGCUGGGUGGAUUAGUGGCGAACGGGUGAAUAACACGUGAGUAACCUGCCCUUAACUCUGGGAUAAGCCUGGGAAACUGGGUCUAAUACCGGAUAGGAGCGUCCACCGCAUGGUGGGUGUUGGAAAGAUUUAUCGGUUUUGGAUGGACUCGCGGCCUAUCAGCUUGUUGGUGAGGUAAUGGCUCACCAAGGCGACGACGGGUAGCCGGCCUGAGAGGGUGACCGGCCACACUGGGACUGAGACACGGCCCAGACUCCUACGGGAGGCAGCAGUGGGGAAUAUUGCACAAUGGGCGCAAGCCUGAUGCAGCGACGCCGCGUGAGGGAUGACGGCCUUCGGGUUGUAAACCUCUUUCAGUAGGGAAGAAGCGAAAGUGACGGUACCUGCAGAAGAAGCACCGGCUAACUACGUG
rnacentral:rRNA from 1 species